AGAGUUUGAUCAUGGCUCAGGACGAACGCUGGCGGCAUGCUUCCAUACAUGCAAGUCGACACGAGCUUCCGUUGAAUGACGUGCUUGCACUGAUUUCAACAAUGAAGCGAGUGGCGAACUGGUGAGUAACACGUGGGGAAUCUGCCCAGAAGCAGGGGAUAACACUUGGAAACAGGUGCUAAUACCGUAUAACAACAAAAUCCGCAUGGAUUUUGUUUGAAAGGUGGCUUCGGCUAUCACUUCUGGAUGAUCCCGCGGCGUAUUAGUUAGUUGGUGAGGUAAAGGCCCACCAAGACGAUGAUACGUAGCCGACCUGAGAGGGUAAUCGGCCACAUUGGGACUGAGACACGGCCCAAACUCCUACGGGAGGCAGCAGUAGGGAAUCUUCCACAAUGGACGAAAGUCUGAUGGAGCAAUGCCGCGUGAGUGAAGAAGGGUUUCGGCUCGUAAAACUCUGUUGUUAAAGAAGAACACCUUUGAGAGUAACUGUUCAAGGGUUGACGGUAUUUAACCAGAAAGCCACGGCUAACUACGUGCCAGCAGCCGCGGUAAUACGUAGGUGGCAAGCGUUGUCCGGAUUUAUUGGGCGUAAAGCGAGCGCAGGCGGUUUUUUAAGUCUGAUGUGAAAGCCUUCGGCUUAACCGGAGGAGUGCAUCGGAAACUGGGAGACUUGAGUGCAGAAGAGGACAGUGGAACUCCAUGUGUAGCGGUGGAAUGCGUAGAUAUAUGGAAGAACACCAGUGGCGAAGGCGGCUGUCUAGUCUGUAACUGACGCUGAGGCUCGAAAGCAUGGGUAGCGAACAGGAUUAGAUACCCUGGUAGUCCAUGCCGUAAACGAUGAGUGCUAAGUGUUGGAGGGUUUCCGCCCUUCAGUGCUGCAGCUCACGCAUUAAGCACUCCGCCUGGGGAGUAC
rnacentral:rRNA from 1 species